CUUCGAAUUUUAUUUUCAUUUUAUGUCACCCAAAUCAAUAAAUUGUUCUCAGAAGUUCACAGAAAUUCGUAGUAAGAAUAUUCAAAAUGUUGUGUAUAAAUACACUUGUAUUGCUUUGCAUGAUAAGCUCCCAAUGCAGUUUUUUUAGCUCACUAAACAGAUCCGAUGCAGCGGCAAUCGAUGAAUCGGACAUUUACGAAUCGGAAUCAGAUGAAGUUCCGAUGAAUUUAUUUUCCCAAACUAAAAAAGCCAAUAUUUGUACCCCAGCCACGAAAUAUGAGUAAAGUUCAUCAAUCAGAUACUAAAACAACAAAGUUUAUAAAUUAUUGGUCCAAAAUUGUGAGGGACAAACAGAAACGAGUCGAUAACGAUGCUAGGGAAUUAACCAUAUACAUACCGAAAUAUACAAGAGAUGCGGAUGGAAAUUGGAUCGCAAUCAAUUGGCGACCAACUCCAAACAAUAUUUGGGAGGAUACACGCUUGCAUGCGACGGGCCUUGACUGGCUUUUCCAAACGAAAGAUGUUGUUGUUAUCAACUAUAGGCCUGGAAGGAAGCAUUCAACUGUCUGCUAUGCAAGGUCGACACAAUACAUUUGGCCAUUCCCUUUAUAUUAUUUAAAGAAAAGUGUCCAGGUUAACCUUUUUAAUCAUCGCGCAUUCUACGAUGUCCUCAGAUAUCAAAUGUAUCACUAUGGACGUUCAGAGGAGUGCCAUGAUGUCAAGUAUAGUGUGUGGUCGAAGUAUAUGGAAUGCGCUUUAUUCCGUAAUAUGCGAAUGGACUAUCUUAUACCAAAGUAUCCAUUGCAUCAAAAAGGAUACUUUGCUCACUGGAAGUUAUACAUUUAAUCACAUACUCGUAGGUAUGCUUACUUCUACAAAUACUGUGUAUAGUGAUGUCUUUAUAAUUAAGUUUAAUUCUUUAAUAAAUCGCAUUAAAUUCAAAUUCGCAUA